rnacentral:lncRNA from 1 species
UUUCAGCUCCUCUCCCAGAAAGCAAGCUCCCUGAUUUAAAUAUAACCCCAGGGGAAAAAAUGUUCCUUCCCAGCAAUUGUUGAGUGAACCCACAGCUGCUGCCUAUUGUUAGGCACCAGCUCAAGCAAUCAGGCUUUCUUUGUAUUAGCUGAAAAACAAGGAAAUCGCACAUCCACGCCUAACUGCCUCACACCUGUGCUUGCAAAAGUGGCAGAAGCACUGAGCAUCUUGUGACUAAUCUGGAAAAUUGUCUACUUCAAGCAAAGUGACUUUCAGUGUUUCAGGCCGAAGGUGCAGCUCUUCUUAUGGAGAUAGCAGAGACACAAGAGACCAAGCUCAACUACACAAGCAUAUUUCAUGUCUCUGCUUACGUCACAUCUGUCAUUAUCCCAUUGGCCAAGGAAAAGACUGUCUACCACGGCAAUAAAGUAUUUGUGCUCUCUGCAGCCAGACAAUUGAAGAAGAAACACUGACAAGCAUAUUGCUAUAUCAAUAAUGCACUGUCCUUCACAGACAAAAGGCACAGCUACUGACCCACCUCUAGUAAAGCGCAGGCCUUGAACUGUGUCGCCAGAGGUAAAAAGAGAAGACACAAAUUAUCUAACAGGCACAGUGGCUCACGCCUGUAAUCUGAGCAUUUUGGGAGGCCUGGGCAGGUGGAUCACUUGAGCCCAGGAGUUCGACAGCCACUUGAACAACAUGGCAAAACCCUGUCUCCACAGUAAGUACAAAAAAUAAUUAACCAGGCGUGGUGGCACACACCUGUACCCCCCAGCAACAUGGGAGGCUGAUGUGGGAGGAUUGCUUCAACCUGGGAAGUUGAGACUGCAGUGAGCCACGAUUGCAUCACCCAGCCUGGGCGUUGAAGUGAGACCUUGUCUCAAAAAAAAAGAUGAAUUAUCAAUAUCAGGGAUAAAACAAGAUAUCACUAUGGACCCCGCAGACAUCAAAAGGGUAAAAAGGGAACAGUACCAACAUCUCUACAUACAUAAAUUUGGCAACAUACAUGAUAUGAACCAAUUUCUCAAAAAAAAUACUACCACAACCUCACCCAAUAUAAAAUAUAUCAUUUCAAUGGCAUUAUAACAAAAUUAAAUUCAUAAUUUUAAAACUUCACAAAAAGAAAUCUUCAGGUCCAGAUUGUUUCACCGGAGAAUUAAAUGAAAUAUUUAAAGAAGAAUUAACAGUAAGUCCACACAAUAUCUUCCAGACAAUAGGAGGGAACACUUCUCAAUUCCUUUUAUAAAGCUAAUAUUAUCCUGAUAAGAAAAUCAGACAAAGACAGUACAGAAAUGUACCAAACAAUAUCCCUCAUGAAUAUAGAUGCAAAAAUCCCUAACAAAGUACUAGAAAAAAACAAUUCAGCAACACAUAAAAGUAAUUAAACAACAUGCUCAAGUAGGGUUUAAGCCAUGGAUGCUGAUGUGGUUUGAAUGUCCCCAUCAAAACUCAUGUUGAAAUUUAAUUGCCACUGUGAUGGUAUUGGGAGGUGAGGUAUAAAAGAGGUGAGUAAGUCAUGAGGGCUUCACUCUCAUGAAUGGAUUGUCAUUAUGACAACGAGAUAGUUAUACAGGAGUAGGCUCAUAAUAAAUGGAUAAAUUUAGCUCCUAUUUUCUCUCUGUCUUGCAUGCUCAAUUCUGCCUUCCACUCUUCUACCAUGGACUGACCCUCACCAGAUGGCACACCAUGUUCUUCUCAGCCUCCAGAAUUAUGACCCUCACCAGAUGCCAACACCAUGCUCUUGGACUUGCCAGCCUCCAGAACCGAGAGUACAUCUAUUGUUUUCAACUAUAAGAAGACAUCCAAGAAACUUCAUAUCAUAGGAUCAUAGGACACUGGAGGAAAGGAACCCCUCAAAUCAUCUAAGCCUUCAAUUAAGUCCAUAGUUCAGACCCUGUAAACUGAGGAUGCCCAAGAGGGAUGCAGAAGAAACACUUGUGGACAAUGUGAUAUCUUACCCCAUCAACUGUGAUCAUCUUGACUUUAAUUCUGUACACUCAUGAAUCCCUUCAAAAAUAGAAUUUUAACUUUCUUUGUGCCUGUCUGACAGUGUCAGUGGUUUUACUCUUUGUUUCCUCUAGCAUAUUCUAUCAGCUCACUGGAGAGCCAAGCUGGGUUGUGGCCAAAAUCAUAGCAUCAACUUUUUAUGUUCUACAAGCAAGAGUCUCUGACACAGGUAGCAUAAAUAAUGCUCCCCAUAGCUCCUGCUGAGCUAGGGCUUUUCUGAAUUAUCUCUCAUGCCCUUCUUUCCACUCUUCGUCCAUGCAGUAUGUCGCAAGCUUCCCCCAGCCCCAUUACAAAGGGCCCCAUUGCAGGUGUAGUAGCUCUAAACCUACUGUUUACACCACAGGAAACCAAAGAAGUAGAUCUGUCUUGCUACAUUUUUCACCCACUUAAGUAAGCUGAGUCACUCCAUAUUGGCUCAGAACCCACUGCACAGUAAAGAGGAGAAACUGGGACGUUAUGGCCUCUUCUACCUCUCUGAAUUUUUCUCACAGUGCAGACCUCAGAGGGAAGAGCUUUUCUCCUUACACUUUUGAUUCUCCAAGCCUGGAUUCUGAUAUGCUAAAAAGGAGAUUUGGGUAGUUAGAAAAAUCUUCUCCUAAUAAUGUAUAGCUUUCAAAAUAUUUUCCUGGGAUAGAAUUCUAUUUUAAAUGUCAAAAGCUAAAAGUUAUUUAUUUAUUUAUUUUUUUUUUUUAGAGACAGACUCUGGCUCUGUCACCCAAGUUGGAGUGCAGUGGCACCAUCUCAGCUCACUGCAACCUCCAUCUCCCAGGUUCAAGAGAUUCUCAUGCCUCAGCCUCUUGAGUAGCUGCUAUUACAGGCAUGCACCACCAUACCUGGCUAUUUUUUUUUCUAUUUUUAGUAGAAACGGGAUUUCACUGUGCUGACAAGGCUGUUCUCAAACUCCUGACCUCAAGUGAUCUGCCCACCUCAGUCUCCCAAAGUGUUUUCUUUCAUUUCUUAUUCUCCAUCUGAUUUCCUUAGAAGUAAAUGGAUGUCUUAAG